GAUGAACGCUGGCGGCGUGCCUAAUACAUGCAAGUCGAGCGAACGGACGAGAAGCUUGCUUCUCUGAUGUUAGCGGCGGACGGGUGAGUAACACGUGGAUAACCUACCUAUAAGACUGGGAUAACUUCGGGAAACCGGAGCUAAUACCGGAUAAUAUUUUGAACCGCAUGGUUCAAAAGUGAAAGACGGUCUUGCUGUCACUUAUAGAUGGAUCCGCGCUGCAUUAGCUAGUUGGUAAGGUAACGGCUUACCAAGGCAACGAUGCAUAGCCGACCUGAGAGGGGGAGGGGCCACGUGGGAACGGAACCACGGCCGGGACCACAGAGGGGGGCGAAGGAGGGGAAUUGUCCGCAAGGGCGGAAGACCUGCAGGAGAAGCGCGGGGUGAGGGAUAAAGGUCUUGGAAUCAAAAAACUGUGUUAUUGGAGAAAAACAUAGGUGAAGAAAACUGUGCACACCUGAAGGGACCCAAAUAAAAAAGCCACGGCAAACUACGUG
rnacentral:rRNA from 1 species